AACGUAGGACACAAGCGUUAUCCGGAGUUACUGGGCGUAAAGGGCGUGUAGGCGGAUCGGUAAGUCUACUCUGAAAGCUCCUGGCUAAACUGGGAGAGGCGAGUGGAUACUGCCGGGCUAGAGUCCGGAAGAGGCGAGUGGAACUCCUGGUGUAGCGGUGGAAUGCGCAGAUAUCAGGAAGAACACCAACGGCGAAGGCAGCUCGCUGGGGACGGUACUGACGCUGAGACGCGAAAGCGUGGGGAGCGAACAGG
rnacentral:rRNA from 1 species